UGCUGUCAGCUACAGGUCCUCCCCAGCCUGAAGAGCCAAACUGGUUACCACAGAGGUUCUCGAGGAAGGAACCCAGUCCAGGAGGUCAGAGUCUUGGUUUCCCAAGAUGGCCGGACUACUGAGUUGCUGUGUGACCUUACACAAGUGAUUCAAACUCUCUGAAUCUUCCAAGCUGGUAGAGCCACCGAAGCAGAGAAGGAGUGGGGGAGGAGAAGUCUGCAAGUGUG
rnacentral:lncRNA from 1 species